CUCCUUCCCUCCUUCCCUCCCUCCCUCCUUCGCUCCCUCUGUCGACGCUGCCGCGGAUUUGAGAGUUGAGAGUUACGGUAUGACCUUCAGAUCGACAUGUUUAAAUACUCACUACCCGGCUGUGAAUGUGUCGACGAUUCCUCUCUGCGCCUUAAUGAUCUCUCCAGUGCGCCCACCGCACCAGGAAUCAUCUGUUUCUGGUACGGAGUCUUUUUAGAACCACUGUCACAAAUACAGAACAUUGGUAAGAGAUUGGGAUCAGCUCAACCAUCAAGCUAUCCACAGCUGCUCUACAAAGCCUGAUUUCAUUUUGGGUUGCAUUGGUAAAAUACAUAUAACAUCAAAAAGGGAUACAGUAUAGCUCUAUAGAGCAUAGAUCAUUCAUGGUGUAUCAUCUAUGUAGUGUAAAUGUGUGUAGAGCAAUGUGCUUUGAGACAAUCCUGUAAUUUACGUUCCAGAACUGUAAUAAACUCUCAA